UACGGCUUCUUCGUGAGGAUCGGUGAAUCGCGAUACACAACCGAAAUAGUCGACGGUGUUUUAAAAGCCAUCCGCUACACGUGUAGAGACGUUUGGGUUAGGCUGUCCGCACCAUUCUUGCUGUAUCUUUUCAUCGUACGUGCCAAUAGAGUAUACCACCUCCGCUGGAUUUUACGGUUCGGGUUUUAUGGUUAUAUUUAUUACGUCGGGCUUCUACGGGGCUCGAGGAACGUUUUCCCUGGGAGCGAUUGCGACGUAAGUACCGUGAAUCUGGGUCGGCGAAUGGAUCAUUGAAAAAGUUGGCAAUGACGUCGAUGUCGCGUCAGAAAGGCUGGAAAUUCUCGUUUAUAUGAAAACUGAUUCGCAGCAGUGGGGAAACCCCAAAGUCGACGAUCUUUUAUAUGGUUGAAAUAUUCGAAUUAA